UACGUAGGGGGCAAGCGUUGUCCGGAAUCAUUGGGCGUAAAGCGCGUGUAGGCGGCUCGAUAAGUCUGCUGUGAAAGUCCAGGGCUCAACCCUGGGAUGCCGGUGGAUACUGUCGAGCUCGAGUCCGGAAGAGGCGAGUGGAAUUCCUGGUGUAGCGGUGAAAUGCGCAGAUAUCAGGAGGAACACCAGCGGCGAAGGCGGCGCUCUGGGCCGGUACUGACACUGAGGAGCGAAGAGCGUGGGUAGCAAACAGG
rnacentral:rRNA from 1 species